GCGUCUAUCUGUGAGGUCUCUAAGGCUCUUAAGGUAACCAAAGAAGGUGGCGCCGUAAGCUGACUCAAGCGUUCUAGAGUGGAAACAGCCUGUUUCUGAGCACCUGUUUAACGUUCACCUGAGAGCUCCUGGAUCUAUUUCACACUCCACUAGGUCUUUGGGAGGGGGUUGGGUGAGAAGGUUUGCAGCAUCUCCACUAGCAUCAGAAGCUCUCCAAACCGAUCGGGAAGAGGAUCUAGCUGAAAAAACUUUGAACUUCAAUGCGACCGCCACAGCCACAAUUGCACACCAGCCUGAUUAGCUGUGUUUAUCUGCGAAGGACACAGCGAUGGAGAAGCUGAUCUUUGAACUUUCAUUGUGGCAGAAACCUCAGGGGAGCAUCAGGAUCAAUCUCAGCUGGACAGGAGAUGAAGGUUACGCUGUCCUGGCCUGUGCUGAGCUGAUGGGUGAAAAGAUUCCCCUCUGGGCCUUCCUGGUUUACAAUAGCCAUUCGGUGGAGCAAAGCCAACACAUCGAUCUCUCGCCUACGGAUUAUAUACAAAGGCACCAAUCAGUGUGGAAUGUUGAACGGGAAAAUAUGCUCCUUUUUGCUCUCUACUCCAUGUGGCUUCAUUAAGCUGGUCACAGUGCAUUUCCACUCAUUUUUUGAAGCACUACUCCUUGUGUGAGUGGAACUGGCUAUGACAAUGGCACAUAAAACAUUACCACAUAAAACAACACCUGUGAGGGUGCAGGGCAUUGUGAUAAAGCACCAUAAUCUCCACAAGGACAGCACUGAUAUUUGGGGCACAUAAGCAUGAUAAUGGGAUGCAUAAAUGUCAUAAGGUGACCUCUUCAAACUGAGGGCCGAUUAUCCUUCUGGAUGUGUCAUAUUGUUCUGGUGCACUUAGAUAUGUUGCUCUCCUGUGGGCUGUUCGGCUUUUCAUGUCCUUUUCACAUGAUAAAGGAAUGUGCUUAAAACAAACGCUCAUUCAGACUACACCGGUGAACUCUGAAUAAAUUUAAAAAGGAAGAGAGAGAACA
ensembl:lncRNA